rnacentral:rRNA from 1 species
AACGAACGCUGGCGGCAGGCUUAACACAUGCAAGUCGAGCGCCCCGCAAGGGGAGCGGCAGACGGGUGAGUAACACGUGGGAACAUACCCUUUACUACGGAACAACUCCGGGAAACUGGAGCCAAUACCGUAUGUGCCCUUUGGGGGAAAGAUUUAUCGGUAAAGGAUUGGCCCGCGUUGGAUUAGCUAGUUGGUGGGGUAAAGGACUACCAAGGCGACGAUCCAUAGCUGGUCUGAGAGGAUGAUCAGCCACAUUGGGACUGAGAAACGGACCAAACUCCUACGGGAGGCAGCAGUGGGGAAUAUUGGACAAUGGGCGCAAGCCUGAUCCAGCCAUGCCGCGUGAGUGAUGAAGGCCUUAGGGUUGUAAAGCUCUUUCACCGAUGAAGAUAAUGACGGUAGUCGGAGAAGAAGCCCCGGCUAACUUCGUGCCAGCCGCCGCAGUAA